GCAAGGCAGCCGUGAGGCGAAGGACAGGCUGGGGGACCCCAGUGGGUCCACUCCGGCCCCCACCCCAGGCACUGGGACUCUGGUGGCACCCUGGAUGGCAGGCAAGCCUUGAAGUCAAGUGCACGCGCCUUGGAAAGGAGGACAGGGAGAGUUAUGGGAUUUAUGAAUGAAGAAGAGAAAGAGAAUCACUCGGAUGGGAAAAGUUAACUGGAUUGUUCCCACCUGCAUGGAUCACCGGAAGCAACUUAGCCGUCUCGCCUUGCGGCCUGGAACCCCUGGCAAUUUCCGGAGCACCGGCAAGAGACUUUUGCACAGUUUCUGCUUGGAGUCUACCGACUCUCUGUCUCAGAGGUCUGGACAGCUACUUGUUAUAUUUGGCUCAUGCUAGCUUAAAAAAGGAAUUUAUGGACCUUACUGCAGAACGUCCCAAUUCUUCAGGCCAAGGUAAAUGCAAGUUGGGGUGGUAGUGAAGUUGCAAACUGCCCUCAAGAAAAAAAGUUAACAAGAUAUUGUUCCUUCCACCCCUGGCCUCCCCUUGGUUCCCUGACCCCAAAAGCCUUCCCACCAGGCUUCAGGGUGACAAACGCUUGGAUUUGAUGGGGCUGAGAUUCGCUUGUGCCUUUGUUGAUGGCAGGGCACUUUUAUUGAAACUUGUUGAAAGGAGCUAGCUUCGAAGGCUCCUCCAAGACUCUAUACCAUACGGGGAAGCAGGGCUUUGAUUCAAGGUACUCACAGCUAUCAACCACGGGCAUUCAUUGAGUUUUCUCUUUCAUUUAGGGAAGGAAGGGAGAAAAUGAAUCAGAGGCUGAUUUUUUUUUUUUUCCCUGGGCUGUUUUCCCCAAGCUCCAGGAAAUUAAGAAACACGCCAUUAGUUUUAGCAAACAAUUUGAACAAAGUAAAACCAGAUCUCCCACCAACGUCCAAGGACCACGAGGGGUCUGAGUGCCCCUGGCACUGUUUGUGGACUCUGCGGGUCGUGGAGGAGCCACGAAAUGGGAAGAGAGCUGUGGGUGAUACAGGAUGGUGUGUGUGACAGUCCCCCCGUGUCUUCUUUGCUACCGUGUUUAUUGUAGCUUAGAUGUUUGUGGCCUGGUGGCGCCAAAGAAAGGUGAACGGAAAGGGUUUUUGGGGUGCCAUGGCCCAGACCUUAGCCUGAACGUUGUGGGAAGCCGGUGGGUGUCUACAUGCGUUGGUGAAGACCAGUGGGCUUCUCCUUGGAAGCUGGUCUCCAAGAUGGCUCUGGAUGGCUCACUCCUGCAUCUCGCCAAAUCCACAGGGUCCAGCUGUGUCUCCAGAGCUGAGUGGCUUAUUGAAAAAGAGAGUGUAUGGUGGAUUUCAAUAUCCAUAUUCUACAAAAAAUGUAAAAGGGGCAGGGGACGGGAACAAAGAAACCAGUGCUGGUGAUCCUGUCCCCACAGUAAGGUCUGCGCUAGUGUGGACAUGGGACAGGG